UUCAAAUCAGGACAUACAUUAGGCAAGUCAUUAAUGUACAGAGAAAACAGUAAUGGUCCAAGAAUGGAACCUUGUUUACCCCAAAAAGGAAGAAUUGUUCACGUUCAUGUUGAUGGUUUGCAGCUUGGUCUCGCUGAAGAGGAAGUAACAUACAGCGAUGUUAAACACAUGAGAAGAGCUUCAGAAAAGUGGUCAGAAGCUAAUAGAGAUGUGGACGUGAUGUACUCCUCUGUGGUCGCUGUAGAACGUCAAACUAAACAAAUGAUUCAAGCGGAAGAAGAUGAUGUAACAUAAAGCAGGUUGGCUUAGCACCAGAGAAACCUGUGAAUGUUCCCCCUACCCUACAUCUAUACCCAUCGCUGGAGUCAUUUUUUAGAUGACAGUCUUGCAACUUGCCGACAUCUGAUCUUUGGCUUUGCAGAAACCGCUUUUUUUUUUUUUUUUUUUUUCUCCCCUUCCCCUUUCUUCAUAUCCUUAAGCUCAAAAGAUUUUAUGCAUUGACAAAAGCUUUCUACACUCGUACAAAAUGACCAAGCUCCUGAACAUGCAGGAGGAACCAAACAAAUCUUACAGGUUUUGUUUAAUUAUGUUUGUUCAUUUAUGUCUUGUGUUAUGUUUUUUUGUUGUUUAAUGUUUGAUGGAACAUGAAUGUUUAAAGUACAAAAUAAGUCAACUAAAAUAAACAUGAUAAUGCAAUAAAUCACAAGUUGAUAUUUCA